rnacentral:misc_RNA from 1 species
UCCGGCUUACCACCGGCAGUUUCCCCAGAGUGCCCGGCAUUACCCGUUGGCAACAGGGGAUGAGGGUUGCGCUCGUUGCGGGACUUAACCCAACAUCUCACGACACGAGCUGACGACAGCCAUGCAGCACCUGUGUGGGCGCCAGCCGAACUGAAGGAGUCGAUUUCUCGUCUCCAAACGCCCCAUGUCAAGCCCUGGUAAGGUUCUUCGCGUUGCCUCGAAUUAAACCACAUGCUCCACCGCUUGUGCGGGUCCCCGUCAAUUCCUUUGAGUUUUAAUCUUGCGACCGUACUCCCCAGGCGGGAUGCUUAACGCGUUAGCUGCGCCACCGAGAGCUAUGCCCCCGACAGCUAGCAUCCAUCGUUUACAGCGUGGACUAC